UACAGAGGUCCCAAGCGUUGUUCGGAUUCACUGGGCGUAAAGGGUGCGUAGGUGGCUUGGUAAGUUUGAUGUGAAAUCUCCGGGCUUAACCCGGAAAUGGCAUUGAAUACUAUUGAGCUGGAGGUUUGGAGGGGGACUGGAAUUCUCGGUGUAGCAGGUGAAAUGCGUAGAUAUCGAGAGGAACACCAGUGGCGAAGGCGAGUCCCUGGACAACACCUGACACUGAGCACGAAAGCUAGGGGAGCAAACAGG
rnacentral:rRNA from 1 species